rnacentral:lncRNA from 1 species
UGUGUUUGCGGUGUCGGCAACGAGAGAGCCAAAUUUUCCUAUUCAACUUCAUUUUUUUUAUUUAAAUAUUUUCUUUUCUAUAUUAUUUUCUUUUUUUUAUUAGAUUCUCAUUCGUAUUUUUUUUAUUUGAAAAUUUUCUCUCCUAUAUAUUUUUUAUUUUUUUCUGGUUUUUUUAUUGGAUUAGAUCUACAUCCGAAAAAGGUACCACUAUGUUCUCAGCAUCGAGAUCUGCUUCAUGUUCCCCAGAAAAUCUUUAUUUUAUAUUUUCCAUUUAUUGUUUUCUCUUAAAUUUGGGGCCGUUGCAGGUUGGAAUGAAUCUCUCGCUUUAUUUUCUAUUAUUUAAUCUUACUAUUUUAUUUUAUGGGUUAUAAUAUUUUCUAAUUUCACUAAACCAUCUGUCCCACCACUGAACCAAACACCAAAAGAUCCAUGUAGUUAAGCAGACAAAUGCUCCAGCAACAAACAGGAGAUUUAACAUCUGAUGUUAUUUCCUGCUUCAGAGACAGAAGUUGCCAUACAUAAAACUGACAUCUCACCUCCUUGCACACCGGGCUUUAUUUACGUAACCUCGUCUACGUAUGGUAACAAAACCCGCCACACCUCCCCGGUGGCAACGCUAGUUGCUACAUCAAGCAUCAGCUCCUCCCUCAGACCUAGGAGCUGAAAAGAUGGCCAUCUCAUCUCCCCUGCUGAACUUGACCCUCCUGGCUUCAUUCCUGUUGAUGCGGUAAGAGUUCAUCAGCACCUCCUCCGGCAUGCCUCGGAGAGCCGAAGCCUUCCCCACGAUCGUGCUCACCAUCGCGUUGUCGAUGGUCUUGAUCGAGGUAAACUCGAAGCCCUCGUUCCCUGCCUGUUUAAUGACGGCAAAGUUCUGUGGAAUGACCAAGAGCUGGCCCUGGCGGAGCUCGCCAUCAAAAACGGUCUUCCCAUUGUUAUCGACAACCUGGACCCGGCCUCGUCCUCCAGUACAAUACAUCACACUGUGUGCGUUGAUGUUCCAGUGUGGUGCAAGCAUGGCAUUCUACGUACAAACAAGGGAAGAAACACUUGUUAAAAAUAAAAUAAAAUUAAAAAAAAAACCGGUUAGCUUUAAAAGAUGUUCAAUCCAAUAUAGACCAAUGUGGGAAUCUGUUACCUUAUAGAGCACCACCCUCUCGGCACUCAAUUGGAUGAAGCUAAGCAUGGGGAGCUUCUGGCUGUUGAGGGUGGUAAUCCUUCCACCCCGCGGAGUGUAGACAUCUGCAUGUCUCGGGGAAUCGAUGUUCUCCCUACUCCUCAUGGAGCACAUGACCUCCUCCAACCCAUUUGUGCCCCUUCCCUUUUCCUCCCUCUCCUGCUUCUCACUUGAGGGCCUCAGCACCUCAAGAGCCUUCUCCACGCGGACAAUCUCCCCCCUCCGGUCAUCCUCACCCUGGAGCUUCCUCGCCACUUCCCUAUCAACCCCGAUGGCCGCCGCGAGUAGCUCGGUGUCGAAUCCGCUAAGGAUGUCGCCCUCUGAGCUCUCUUCUUGUUCUUUCCUGGAUUGCUGCUGGCUACUCCUUUGUCUCCCAGCCAGUAGGAAUUGCUGCAUGCGUUCCAUCCGACGGAGUAAAAAGCUCAAUUAAUGCACUCUUGCUUUAACAUGAUAAGAGGCGCGUCUUUUUGAACUCGACGAAUUAAUUGAUAAAUGUUGAUGCCAGCUGACUUACCCUAUGGUUUUCAUCGAGCUGAUUGGCACUGUUGCUGAUGUCCGAAACGGUGAAAGCUAUCACUGGAGUAUCGCCAUCGUUGUAGCACCAGUGAGCAACUCCAGCGGCGAUGGCGAUGACGUCUCCCUGUUUGAAGUGGUGAAUCCUCUGGUGCUCGUCUCUGGACAUCCGGCUUUGCCCUUCAUGGCCUUGCUGCUCGGAUUCAGCUUGCUGGAAGGAUUGGAACGUCUCUGGGCAGCCCGGGAUCACUGUGCCAUAAAUACCCCUUCCUGCAUGCAUGCGCCAAAACAGACCAUGCAACGCAAUAGGAUCAGCUUGUAAGAACCAAGCAUUGGAAGAUAUAGACGAGGCGAGGGCCGGCAUUGGAGAAGGAAGGCGAGCGAGCGCGAUAUUUGGUGUUGCAGCUUGUUAUGUAUAUGAUGAAACAACAAAGCAAAGAAUAAUUCAGGAGGAAGAAACAAGCCUUGGAUGAUAUAGACGAGGCGAGGGGCGUUGGAGAAGGAGGGCAAGAGAAGGCCUCUAGGCUCGAUGGUACGGCGGAAGGCAGCCACGCCGGCGCACUCGAACUGCGCAUUGUUCUGGUCGUAGUACUCGGUGACGCCGGCCUCGGACCGCACUUCCCUGGUGGGCUCGAGGGCAUUUAGCUUCUCAACGCGGCACUCGCUUUGUUCGCCAGAUUGUCGCACGCUCUGCCAUGGGCUCCUCCCGAACCGGGCCAAGGACGCACGACAGAGGAGCAGCAAGCAUAGAGAAAAUGGGAGCAAGGUGGCGGCCGAGGUUGCCAUGGCCUUCAGUUGGGAGCUGGCUCUACCCUUGGCUAUGGCUGGUAUAUUGCAGAGGAUGGUUGGAUGUGGGUUAGUGUUUUAUAGGCGGAAAAAAGUUAUUUUGGUUCGGACGCAUGCGAGGGUGGUGCCUGCGAACUCUCCGCCACCUUUCGCCCAUGCAAGCCCUCUAAAACUGAGGCUCGAGCUCGUGCUGCCGCAUAUUCAAAUGGUGGAGGCUACGUGCCCGAGUUCUGAACCAAGAAGACAUGGAGUCGAGGCCACGUAUCGAUUCUUGGCAGGUAGCGUCACGGGAGAGAUGCCCGUCGCAAAACCAGCGGAGACGCGUGAAUGGAUACAUAGCUGCCUUAAUUUAUCGACUCUUCCUAGGAAUAUUAAUCGAGAUUAAUGCCUUAUCCACCAUGUCAGUUCCAAAAAUCUGAUCAAUCCCUCCCAGUUCUCCUCUUCGCUUCUUCUUAAUCCCUGAUGCUCCUCCCACACAAUGUUUGCCCCUGGUUCAAGGUAUUUGGCGUGUGUCAUGCUAUGAAUUAUUCAUGGUGCCCCUUUGGUGCAUUAAUUAGUUUUUCAUUAGUUAUGAAAAUUAGUAUAUAUGAGUUGUGAGCUGACCACACAUUAGGGGCUCGUUUGGUUCGCGGAAAAAGAAGGAGGGAAAGUAUGGUCAACGAGAAAGUAAUGAGAUACCUCUUGUUUGGUUGGAGUUUUCAAAGAAGAGAGAAGUAAAAGUUGUAUUCUCAUAGAAAUAUGAUUUGCACAUUUCAUGGGAAAAUCUUUCCCAUGAGGCGGGAAUUACUCUAUUUUUACUUUUUUUCCAAAAAGUUCCUUCAGCAUUAAAGAAGCAUUAAAAACCUAAUUUUUAUUAGGAGCAUAAUAGGAAUUAUACAUAACUUUCUUAGAAAAGUGGAUGGGCAACCAAACAUAAACACUUUGAAAAUUUGUUACUUUUCCAUGAUCAACCAAACAUGCCAAAAGUACUUUCCUAGGCAUUCGCUUCCUAGGAAUUUGUUUCCUAAGAAUCAUAUUCCUACAAGAAAAAAUGCUUUCCGCAAACCAAACGAGCCCUAGAUGAUCAAUGACUAGCAUGCAAUUUUAAAGAGCCAAGAAAAUUCCAUUGUUAAGUCACUAUACGAGCAUCAAAAUAAUUUUAGAAUUUUGUAUUCCUCAUGCAUUUCCAUUUCUUUUUACUAGUCUUACAAUGAUCUAACUAAUAUUUGUCAACCAACGAGACUAGAGAAAAAUGGCUUUCAUCCAACACCGGAAUUAAUCGAUCAUCAACAAUUCCUGGACUGUGCCCCUUUCAUAUUAUGUCCACGAGUCUCUCCGCUCUUAUCGCACAAUGGGCCAAAUUUGGCCCAGCUUCUUAUGAGAAUGUCACCUCUGUAAUUAGUAGAAAACUUCUCCAAAGCCUUGGAUGGUUUUGAACUUUAACUGUUUAUAACAAGGGAGGCUAACAUUCUGACCAGGCAUUGAGAAGGAAUAAAUGCCUUCGAUGUAACGAUUUUUCAGAUUAUCUCCACAAGCAAGUGCCCAUCGUGUGGAACAUGCCCGGCCCCUUUUAGAGCCAUAAUUACAGUUAGUGAAAAAAACCUUAAAUUUUACCAAAAAAAAAAAAACUUUGAGGGGCUUUGAGCUUAUAAAAAUUCUCCAAAACAUGGAGUUUAACAUUCACCCGGGCAUUAAAAAAAAUAUCAGACUUGCAAAUGUGGUUCUUUGUAAAAUAAAAGAUAUGAAAAUAAAACAAAUAAAAAAACAUGAACAAGUUGUAAGUGAAAAAAUUUUAAUACUAGAAAAAGGGAUGUUCUCGUGGAGUCGUCCAAAUUUAGAUAUUAAUUAAAGAAGCACCUUCUUAGACUGAAAUAGAAACCUCCUCCACUUGGAGGGGAGCAUUAAUUAGGGUAUAUAUUGAUUGGUUCAAACUUUUACUUAAUGUUGAAUAACAAAGUCCAAAAAGUAGGUGCAUCUGCAAUCAAACAUAACAAUUAUUAAUUUGCUUAAGAUGACAUAUUCAUACCAUCCAGCCAAGCAAUUAAGUAACUAUCUGAAUAACUCGUUGCUUUUAUAGCCAUUGCUCCAUGUACAGGUUCAAGAAAUUGAUACGCGAGAAAAAAAGUUUGGCACAAUAGAAAAAAGGAAAAAAAAAAAACAACUUGAUAACAAGCUAGAUGCACUUGCUACAACAAAUAAUCCGAAAUAGAAGCGUGUAUAUCAAAUUAUAACUAAAUAGGAUUACAACUAUUUUUAGAUAAUUAAAAUAUUUAUUUCGAGAACUAUAUCAGUACGAUAAUGCUUGAAGCCAUGGUACAAAAGAAAAGAAAUCUGUACCGUUAUGUUGAAUUAUUUACCAAAAAAAAGUACAGGGAAUAAGCAAGUUUGGGUCGCAGUAUGGGUAUUAUACUGGGGUGAUAUGGUACUUUCCGUACAAUCUGGUAGGCUGGGUUUUCGGCGUCAAAUCUGUGCAUACGUAUACAACAAGAUCAGUAUAUUUGUUUUAUUUAUUUUGGUAAAAUGCGAAAGAUACAGCCCGAAUUCUUGUUGUCGUCAAGCCGCCGUUAGACGGCAAGUUAGAUGUUUGUUUGGAGCAGACCUACUGUUUCGUGAGGUGAGGAGCAAGGAGAAUUUCCAGGACCGACCAAUCGCGGGCUGGCGUCUUCAACCCAAGGGAUGAUAGGAUUAGUAGGCUCGGCGGCUAGCGAGAAGCUCCCCAUCCUUUGGUUCAUCAAAAUGAGUGCUGAGAGGGUAGUUCUCUACAGGGUAAGAAGAGAAAUUAAACGUACCAUGACAAUUACGGCAAAUACAUAUGGAUUUUUUAAUUUUGUUAACUUAAGCUGCAUAAGCGGCAAUCCAAUCGAUAAUAUUAUUCGUCUUUCGGUAAACAUGAAUAGUCGAAAAGAAACAUACUAUUUUAAGAGUCCACGCAUGUCAUGGAACUGCGUCAUUCCGCCAGCAGCGCUGCGCCGACUUCAAAUUCACUCGAUCACCAUAGCCGAGCCCUUUUCAAGAAAAAUAUGGUCUGCACUCAGAACAAAUCUUAUAUAAGUGAUGCCCUUUUAUAUGACUCCAAUAUUGACAGGAGUAGUCAGCAUGAUUGUUGGGAAGGCAUCGAAGUGGCAUGUCGGAUGAGGUGCACCGCACCACCGGAGAUGAUGAGGCCAGGAGGUUCCAGUCCAACCUAGGGGGUGAGACGGCCACUAGUCUUGCUCCUAGGAGGCAGCCAAGAUUCGGAGUUUGAUUGCAAUUAUAGGGUGUUGCUGCCCGUCGAGUGAACAAAGCCUGUGAUGAGCACAAGGACCGGCACGUGUAAAACUGAUGAUCGUAAGUCGAGGCGCAAUAAUAAUAAAAAUCUUCCUCCGGCCAAGAUCAAAACCCCGUCGUAGAUGAUCGCACGGUUAUAUGAAGCUCUUCUUAAAUGACUAGAGGUACUGGCAUCCGCAACUACACACGUGGUACCAAGGUUGCUUGGACACGUUUGACCGGCUUAUCAACUAUCAAAACAAAUAAAAAAAAGUUUUUUUUUGUUUAUUAUUGUGAUUUUGAUUUAAUGUCUUUCCUCCCAUCCGACUGCCCCUUUCCGGCUCGACACCUGUUCGUUCUUUACGGCUGGAGCGAUCGAUCUUUGUCGUGCUUCUAACCCAGUAGCGAGGUAUGUUCUUUUCUCGACCCUGAUUUGGAUUAGGUUUUCUAAUUUUGUGGUUUUUUGGGUAUAUUCUUUUCUCAACCCUGAUUUGGAUUAGGUUUUCUAUUUGUUUUGUUUUGUUUGUUUCCCGGAAUUACAACGAUUAUUUUAAUCGUUCUUUGGUUUUAUCGUAAAUCUGUCGGGGUUGCGAUGAGGAAGAUGCAAUUUUUCGGCGGGAUUUCUUGAACUUUUCGAUUUAAUUUUGGUCUUCGGAGGGGUUCCGAAAGAAGAAUCGUCCAGUGUUUGGUGAACUUUUAUAGAUUGAUUCUUUUGUUGUAGUCCGGAUGGGGCUUUUGGGUGGUGAAGAGUUGUUAGGUCAAGAUGGGAUGAAGAUUGAUCCGUAUAGGGCUUCAUCGUAUCGGUUUCUUUGCUACCUAGAUACAAGGCGACGGACGGAUGGAUGGGUACCGUAUAGAAUAGGAUCUUUUUUUUUAAAACCAAAUAUUGACCUCGAUUGAGUUGAUUUUUCUCGAAGUGAACGCAAAAGAGUUGAUUGUAAAAUCCCCAAUACAACUGACCGAUAUGUUAAUUCCUAACUUGUUGGCUCAAAAAGAACUGAACAGAAAUCCAAAAUUAUUCUGAAACCCAUAAUAGGUUUUAGUAAUUAUUUAGUAUGAUUUGAGAAUCCCGUCAAUAGAGAUUUUGAGAUUUAUGUUUUUAAGAGAAUCUUGCACUUGCUUGACAUCAAUUUUGUUUGUCUCCUGUGCUCCAUUUUGAGGACAUCUAGCUGAAAGACUUGAUUUGCAGGAAUAUAUUGGUUGCGGAAACAUUUUCUUUUGUUUUGUCAUCUGAGCUUUCUUACUUCCUGUGGUCUGUGGUAACUUUUUUUUGUUUUUGCAUUUAUUUAAAUCAAUGCUACUGUUUGCUACAUGUGAAUGGGAUAAGUUUUUCCUGGCAAAAGCUGUGUGAAAGUGAAAAUUCCGGGAUUAGCUAUAACAGCAUAAAUAGGCAAAUAAAGAUAGUUAACUGAAGAAACGGGAAGCACUCAAUCAUGGAAAAUCCUUCAAGAAAAUUUAUCAUAUUUGGCUAUCAUUGUUGUGAUGCUGACUAACCAAUUACUGGACCCAAACCCACUUGCCUGAGUAUACAAUUCACAUAAAACCCACUUGUUACCCAGUUAAGACCCUCUCCCGAAAAUCCUGAUGUGGCACCAGGUCUUGUUUCAGGCUUCAUGUCGUGCCACAUCAGCAGAGACAAGUGCCCUACUCGAGAUGAUUGAUGACCGCCUGAUGGAGCUGGAAGGUAGCCAUUUCUUUGGUAGUUGUGUUGUCAUGGGGAUUUUGGUCAAAUAUUUAAACAAGGAAGCAGGGGCUUUGCACAUAAAAAGAUGUGAUUAUUUCUAAUCCGAAAUUCUGCUUCUAAAAAAACAUUUCCAGGACAAGUCGAGAAGCAUAGUAUUAGACGUCAAUCUUAUAACGAAUUGCUUGGCUUCAUUCAUUGCAACGGUUUGAAUCUAAGGAUGUUUUACCAGCUCCAGAUUCCCAACCAAAAUUUACUAAUGGUGAAGGUCUUGUGAUUAUCAGUUUCUGCAUUAUAUUCACCAAUUUUAGGACACAUAAAUAUCACCAUGUUUCUUCUGAUAUCCCAAUUUUCUAAAUUUCGAGUUUGAACCAUAAACGAGAAUGCUAGAUUCAGUGUUAAAUUUGUGGAGUUGGGAUUUCUUCAUUUUUGAUGAUUGUUACAGUUUUGUCUACAGAUUGCUGAACAAGAGCUGACGAAGAUUGUGGAGUUUGACUGGGGUUCUAGGAGUUUGUCUGCUUGGAUUCGCAUAUAUAUUUUGCAUUUAUCUGUUCAGAAUGGAUAGGCUUAAGUUAGCAGCCUUAGGAGAGCGGUUGAAGAUUGGAGGUGAGCGCCUGAAAAUGGGAGGUGCUGAAAUGGGUAGAAAAGUUAGUGGGAAGAUGAAAGAGAUUCUCCAAGGCCAGUCACAAGAGGCAAAAAUGGUUGAUGAAGCAACAUCAGAUAGCUUGGAGGAGCCAAACUGGGGUCUAAAUUUGAGGAUCUGUGGGUUGCUUAAUAGUGAUGAGUUCAAUGGGUCUGAAGUUGUGAGGGCAAUAAAGAAGAAGAUUGCUGGCAAGAACGCUAUAAGCCAAAAGCUGAGUCUUGAUCUGUUGGAGGCUUGUGCUAUGAAUUGUGAUAAGGUUUUCUCUGAAGUGGCUUCUGAGAAGGUGUUGGAUGACAUGGUGAGGUUGAUUGAUAAUCCACAGACACAUUAUGCUAAUACACAGAGAGCUUUGCAGCUGAUCGAGGCAUGGGGUGAGUCUGAUGAUCUUGGAUAUCUACCUGUUUUCAAACAGACUUAUAUGGUAGGUACUUCUAGAUCUUAUUUAUUUGCCACAUCUUACGAAUUUUUCAUAUUAUUGCAUAACAAUAUUCAUGGAUGUCUUAUGAAUACUUUCUAAUUCUGUAUCAUUUUUUUUUUUAAAAAAAUGUAUUUGUUCAUAAUGAGAAGUCACCCUGUCUUAGUAUGUUACGUAUAGGGGUGGCAAAAUAUGACCCGACCUGUGUUCGAUCCGCUAUAAACAGGUUUGGGUUUGGCCUAAACAGGUUCAGGUCGUAAACAGGUCGACCCGUUUAACUAGUUUAUUAAUUGGGUUGGAUACGGAUUUUAGAUGUCUGACCCGUUUAAACCGUUUAACCUGUUUUGUUGGGCAGGUUAAGCAGGUCUAAACAGGUUAAACGGUUAAACAGAUCUAAACAAGUUAAACGGGUCUAAACAGGUUAAAUAGGUCGGGUUGGGCAAACAGGUUAAACAGGUCGGGUCGGAUUGGGCAAACAGGUUACCUGUUUAUUAAACAGGUUAAACGGGUCGGGUUGGGUUACCUAUUUAUUAAACAUGGUAGGUUCAGGUUGUAAUUUCUGACCUGUUUAAUAAACAGGUCGGGUUCGGGUUUAUGAUUUUCUGACCCAACCCGCAUGUGAUCCGACCCGCAUGUGACCCGAUCCGUUUAUGACCAGACCCGACCCGAUUGCCACCCCUAGUUACGUAUCUCAUUUGUUAGUUGAGCAAAUUACUAAGAACGGAGAUUAUAAGAUUUUUAUUAGCAUGCAUUACAUGGUAUUUUGUGCAUGCUUUGCUUAUGUCUAAAAGGUUAUGCUAGUUUUUUCUCAUUCAUGUUUUAUUGGUUAACCAAGCAAAUUAUCAAAAACAAGUUUUGUAAAAAUGCUGUUUGCUUGGAUCAUUUGGAUGGUUAUUCAAGUAUGAUUUCACUAUGUUCGGAUGGCCUAUGUAUAUGUAAUAUGUCCUCAUUUUGUCUUAGGGUUAGUUACAUACAUUGUUUGUUUCUUCAUCACUACCUUUUUCCAUCCAUAACAAGUAAAAAAAUUAACUCAUUUGACUUUGGAUUCACCAAAAAUAUGAAGUCUCACACAAUGAGUUUAUCUGCUUAACCAUGUUAAUUACACUCUGCUUGUUGUCCUUUCAUAUUCUUUUCCACAUUCUUUUGAGUAUGUUUGAACAGAAAUAUUGGCUCAGCUUAUUCCAUUACUUUAUCAUCUAUAUCGACCUUAUGUAACCAUUGCUUCCUAUUCAAAGCAAUCCUUUGAAAUGGCAAUUUUCUUAUACUCAUAUCUCAAGUGCUACAAUCCAUGGCCUAUUUGGCCUUACCCAUUGUCCAUGUAGUUGAGUAUCGACCUCGUCAAGGUCUUCUCUAGCCUAUGAUACAUAUGCAAACAAAGCAAACAUUUUUUUAUUGCUUUAUUCUUUAUUGUUUCGUGCCAUGCAUAAGCUUCCCUUGAUAUUCUUUCUCCCCCCCUCUCUCUCUCUCUUAACGUUCUCUUGUAUGCAUCCUAUACAUCCACCUUGAUAUUCUUUCUUGGUCAGUGCUGAGAUGUGGGCUUCUGUAACAAUGAUCUCAACAAUCAUUCAUUCGUUUCCUUAUUUCAACUUAUUUUUUAACAGUUUAUUUAAUCAUGUCUAAACAUCAUGUGUCUUACAUAAACUUUCUAAAGUUUGAUUUUCAUAAUCCCGUUUCCUUGUAUUUUCCAUCCUCUACUCUAUCCUAUAUAUUUUUUUAUAAAUAUUCCUAAGCGUCCUGCAUAAUUCUCUCUUUUGUUAAAAGCAUGAGGCAUGGAAGAGAGUAGCCUUCUUUUCUCAGUUUCUUUUCCUUCUCUUCUAACCCAACAUUUCCUUUUUUAUUUCCCUUUUCUCCAUCUAUACACUCAUCGUCCGUCUUAAAUCUAACCUUCCCCAAUCAGAAAACAUUUUUGUUUUGCUUAUUUUAUGUUUAGCGUAGACAACUGGUAACUGCUUUUUUCUAAAGCAUUUUUGCAGCAUCAUUUAUGCUGCCGAGCCAUAAUCCUUCUACGCGAGACACUUGUUUUGUAUCCAUUUUUGUGUAAUUUGAUGCUUUUGAUGGAUUCAACGAAGCCCGAGUAGUCGGUUUCAUGUCAUGAGGGUAUCUGCUUUUCAAUGUUUUAUUACUUGCUGAUUGUAAUCUUAUGUGAAAAUAUAACUUCAGAGGACCUUCGAUCAUGAUUGCAUGUUCUCCUCAAGUGUAGAUUGAUUAAGAGCAGCUCCAAGGUGCAAGGAUCUUUAAAUCCUUUCUUCUUCUUUUUUUUUUUGAUGAAAACGGGCAUUUCAUACAACACGGGUACGAAUACACCCAAUAGAGUCAGAAAACAAAAAGCCCUGAAGUGCUCCGGGCAACUCACUCUCCCCAGACCAUAGGGUGCCUCCUGAGUGGCUCGCAACAUAUGCCGCCACCCAGUCGGCCGCCCCAUUGGCCUCGCGAUAUACAUGCAUGGCCUGGAACGUAACCUCCCUCGCCAUAUCCCAAAUGUCACGGAUCAGAGGGUGAACUCCCCCAUAGCUGCACGAGCCCUUUCGGACCCAGCUGAUCACAGUAGCAGAAUCUCCCUCUAGCAGGACUGAAGUCGCCUGAAGCACUCGCCGCACAUAGCACAUACCCAUCCAGGCUGCCCGCAGCUCUGCCCCAGGAACCGAGGUGUCAAAAAUCUGACAGCCCCCUGCCACCACCACACCAGAGCUCGGCCCCCUGAUAACGAAACCAGCCCCUCCUCUCCUACCUCCAUCCAAGACUGAGCCAUCAAAAUUGACCUUGAGGAAACUCGGGGGUGGGGGCUCCCAGGUAAAAAAUACCCUAUGUGAAGCUGCCGAAGCAGUAUGGGGGCCCCAGAUGUCCCGAGCUGUCAAAGGUCUAUGGGCUGAAUCUACAUGUAUAGUCUCAGCUGCCUGAGCACUGGCCCGCUCCAUCACAAACCGCGGUGACGGCCUACCCUCGUCAAAGACACGGGCGUUCCUGGCCAGCCAUAUCUGAUAAGCUGUACAAGCUGCCUUCAGCAUUGUAAAAAUGAAGUAACAUAGUUUUGACCUAUCUCAUGAAAAGUUGACAUGUAGGCAGUCCUAGUUAUACCACCUGAGAUUUUAACAUUUUGUAAUAUAGGCUUACCAGGUUAUUCAUGUUCCUGAACAACAUUUUCUUUUCUUCAUGUAUAUAUAUAUAGUCAUCUUUUGGUCCUCCCACAAAUAGAAUUCAAAUCAUUGUAGCAUUUUCUAUUGUGCUGAUCUAAUGGUUUGCAUCUGUCCAGAGUUUGAAGGCAAGGAGAGCACCAGGUACUAUGCAGGAUGAUAAUUCGGCUUCAUUAUUUUCCUCCUCUGAACCAGGCUUUAAUGAUCAUUCAUUGAUUGGUCCCGAACAUUAUCCCUAUGCCCACAUGGAUCACCAGAAGAGGGAGGCAGGUGAACUUGCCUAUCACAGUGUGGCCCUUUCCAUGGAAGAAAAGAAGCAAAUUCUUGUGGUAACUCGGAACAGCAUUGAGAUUCUUUCUUCAAUAUUUAACUCUGAAACACAAGAAAAAGCCACCAAGGUAUAUAUAUUAUCUCGCCAUAAUUUUUAGUCACUUGUAUUCUACUGAGCUGCAGAUAAACUUUUGUGGAACUAAGUCCAAUUUGCAAAGUUAAACUCCUCCAGUCCUCUCAAUUGGAGAACCACAGCUAAGUUUGGUCUGAAAACUCUCAUAUCACCCAAUUGCUUUAAAAUUUUGGCUGGACCAUCCCAAAUUUAACAUCGAAAAUCCAUAUGCAAGCACCAGAACGAAAAUCAUGCACAAGACGUAUGUAGGAUGAGCAUGCAUUGUAACAUGUGGUUUAGUGUACUACUUAAAUUUUAGGAGAGAUCUGUCUGUACAUCUUGUUGUCUUAGCUAACCAAGAUUUUAUAUUGUGUUGGUCCCUCAAUGCAGGAUGAUCUGAUGCUGAGUAUGGUGGCGAAGUGCAAAGAAUCGCAACCUGUUAUACAAAGGAUCAUCGAGAGCAUUGGUGAUGACGAGUCGAUGUUGUUCGAAGCUUUGAAUGUUCAUGAUGAGCUCCAACAGGCCCUUUCCAAGUAUGAGCAGCUCAAGCAUGCUGUUCCGCCAGAGGAUGGGCAGACCCAUGAUGAUUUGAGCACUUCAGGUGGGAAAAGUGAUGCUUCAGAUGAAAAGCUUUCCAAGUAUGAGCAGCUCGAGCAUGCUGUUCCGCCGGAGCAUGGGCAGACCCAGGAUGAUUUAAGCAGUUCAGGCGGGCGGAAAAGUGAUGGUUCAGAUGAGAAGGCAUAGAAAAGUGAAGGCAGCGGUGACAGUCGGAUGCGGCGAAGGAAUGAAUUCAAUUUCCCGAUCGGUCAAUGAUGAAGAGCUUCUGUAUUUUGUAUAUAAGAGAUGAAUGUUUCGCAGGACAAAAACCAUUUGCUUUCUCUGCAUACUCUGACUGAUUGUGAAAUGAGAUAUCUUGCUUUUGUACUGCUAAAUUGUUCGGAAAUAGAUCUUAUUAUAAAACAAUAUCAGGCCAUUUAAACUUUGUUAUGGUAAUAACUGGUAUUAAAAAAUGGAAAGGAAGUUGAAAAAGAAAUUAUAGAUAGGUAAGUUAAAAAUAAAGAUCUUAUUUAUAGAACGGCGACGGGGCAAUCUUUAGUUUGUUAUGUUAAUAACUGGUAUUUGGAAAUAGGGUUUGGUUUAAAAAAUGGCAAUCGAUCACGGUGGGACUCGAACCCACAAUCUCCCGCUCCGGAGGCGAGCGCCUUAUCCAUUAGGCCACGCGAUCACAGGAUAAUGUAGGUAUAGCAACAUAUCUUUCAUUAUAUUGUUUGUGGAGGCGCACGAAAUCGGAGGAGAGACUUGUGAUUCCUCAGGGUGUUUUGCUGAUGGUGGAGGAUGUACAUUAGAUUCAUGCAAGAGGCCUGCCUGCUGGAUAUCCGAAAGCUCAGGUGCCAUGCAUGGUGGUGUAACAUGUUUUACCGUCAACCGAACCCGCGGGUAGGAGAUAAAUUUUCAUAAGAAGGUCCUUUACAUGACUUCUGUUACGCGUUCCCAUAUUUAACCAUUUUGGUGUGUUUGCGACAAACAUAAGUGAAUGAGAAGUAGGAACACUUGCAGAUCACCUGGAGGUACCAAGCAAAAUGCAUGCAUGGUGGCAGCAGCUAUCUGCAUGCAAAAGUUCACAGACCUCCUGACCCCCAAUCGAGCAGCAGCAGAACAAAUUCGUCAAAGUCCUCAUCGAGAUUCGAGAGCCGAUCCAUAUAACCCGCCAAAAAGGAAAAAGAAAAAAUCUGAAGACGAAACCAAGGUGUGAGUCUAAGCUGAGGAAUGAGUCACCUAAUCCUACAUUGCUUCAUAUCUAAACCCAUGCAACUUCCACACGCGUAAAGCAGCUAGGCUUUCCCAACUCUUUAAUUACCAAGGACGAUAUGCGGUAACUGCCACCCUACAAUUCCAGCAGCCUCAUCACCAACGGUCUUGGUGUUUGAACGGUUCAAGCACCCCUCAGCCGACCAUCCUGCCUCCCCCUAACCCAGGCCUGAUCAGUUUGGAAUUCCACCGUUGGGCUCCCUACCAACAAAACCGAAGGGGACUCGCCGUGCUCUCCUCCCCCUCCUCCACCAACCAUUCCCGGCUCCACCCGGCCUUGGCUUCCAAUCUAUCACUGGAAGCCAUGGCAUCGGGCAUCCCAUGCGAGACCACGCCCGAGGCGCCUAGGUCGGUCGAUCCCCCCGAAGAUCUCAGGCCUUGCGAAAGGAGAGCUCUGCAUGAGUUCCGGGCGAGACUCGAGGAUGCCAUUGUCAGCAACCAGCAGCUUGUCAAAGCAUCCGGCCGCGAGAAGAGCAAGAGCCGAGUCGCGUGCUCGGCGGACCCGACGGAGGAUCCGCGCGAGGAAUCCUUGUGGGGCAUUCCGCUCUUACCAAGCCAAGGCCACGAGGGGACCGACGUGAUCCUCCUCAAGUUUCUACGAGCAAGGGAAUUCAAGGUCUCCGACGCAUUUGCGAUGCUCCAGAAGACCUUACGAUGGAGAAGGGAAUUCGGGGCUGACAGCAUCUUGGAGGAGGAGAUGGGGCUGCCCGAGCUCGAAGACGCGGCCGACGUGAAUGGCACGGAUAGGGAGGGCCACCCCGUAUGCUACAGCAUCUGCGGGGCGUUCAAAGACAAGGAUUUGUAUCGCAGGACCUUCGGGAGCAAGGAGAGGCGCGAGAAAUUUGUGCGGUGGAGGGUUCGGUUCGUGGAGAAGGGCAUCCAGGAGCUCAGCUUCAAGCCCGGGGGAGCGGGAUCCUUGCUUCAAGUCAUAGACCUCAAGGACUCCUGCAGCCCCGACAUGAAGGAGCUCCGCAGCGCCACCAAGAAGCUCGUCUCCGUUCUCCAGGACAACUAUCCGGAAUUUGUCGUCAAGAAUGUAAGACUGCAAUUAAUUGCAUGGCUUAUAUGUUCUUUUUUAAAUCAUCAGAGCUACCAAAAUGUCGUCUUAUCCGAAGAUUUAAUCUCAAAUCAUAAGUACCAACCUGAACGAUCUUGAAUUCAUGAUACCAUUGCUUGCACCGGUUGUAAACUAUGAUGCAUUAGGCCUUUUUGCUAUUGUAUUGAAACUGGACCGCUCUCUCUCUCUCUCNNNNNNNNNNNNNNNNNNNNNNNNNNNNNNNNNNNNNNNNNNNNNNNNNNNNNNNNNNNNNNUAUAUAUAUAUAUAUAUAUAUAUAUAUAUAUAGAUAUAAUAAGAUUUACGAACUUAAAUGAUUAUAUAUAUUGAGAAGGUGCAUGUGCUUCGCAUUUCUUCUUUUCAUGGCAUUCAAACUUCUUUUACAAGAAGUCUAUGUUUAACACUGUCCUGCAUUUUAUAAAUAUAAAAAAACCCAUGGCAAUCCUUCAAAAUCAGAGUCUCAUCCUUUCUUUGGUAAUUAAGAAUCAUCAAUUUUCUUGCAUUCAUAUACUCUAAACUGAUUACUACCCCGUCUGUGUCUUUGGUGCAGAUAUUCAUUAAUGUAUCACUUCGGUAUUAUGUUUACUACGCAUUAUUUUCUAACCUCAUCAGUCCAAGAAGCAAGAGCAAGUUUAUAUUGGUCAGACCCUCUAAAGUUCUUGAAACACUCCUCAAGUAAGACUCGCAAUUAAUUGAUUUAUCUAGUGUCUUUAUGGUGGAAAAUUCAUAUAUCUAAUGGUGUAUACUGCUAAAGGUUUAUAGCCCCAGAGGAAAUACCAGUACAAUAUGGUGGCCUUAAAAGGGAGGAUGAUGAUGAAUUUUCACCAGAAAAACAAGUCUCCGAGUUGGUCAUAAAGGGUGGUGGUAUGGCAACCAUUGAAAUUCCCGUAGUUGAGGUAAUAUGUUCAGUUAAAUUUAAAUUUAAUAUCUUAUUUUCCAUUUGCUUAAAUUUAACCAUGACAGCAUCAGAAUUUUAAAUCACUUAGGCCAGCUUUCACAUAUGGAGUGUGAUUGUAUAUUCGUGCAUUUAACUUCUUCCCGUCUUUCUUCUUAUUGUACGAAUACCAUCACGGUCAAGAGAGUAGUUGCUCUGGGCGUAGCGGGCUAUAGCCCAGCGGCUCCCACACUCGAAAGUUUCCUCGUUUCGUAGGAGGUCCUGGAUUCGGAUCUUGGUACGGGUGUCUGCAUGUGUUUUAGCCAUGUAAUUCCCAUUGAGUUGCUCCCCGUGUUAGUUUAAUAAUAAAAUUAAAGGGGAGAUUGUUCGAGUUCACUCUGAAAAAAGGAAAAAUGUUCUCUAAAGAGAGUACUAAAGAUUGCAUGAACGAUGAUGUCGUAAGUAAUUGAACAGAUAGUCUUGUUAAUUAGGCUGCCCACAACCAGAUUCCUUAUAAUAUUAAUGAUGUAUUGAUCUUUUCCUUUAUUUAUUUAUUUUUUUUUAAUUGAACAGCCAGGAGUGACUGUUGUUUGGGACAUCACGGUGGUAGGAUGGGAAGUCACCUACAAGGAGGAGUUCAUCCCAGAUGAUGAAGGCUCAUAUAGAGUCUUGAUUCAAAAGGAAAAGAAGAUCGAAGAGAGCGUGAGGAAUUCAUUCUACAUCAAUGAACCUGGGAAGGUGGUGUUGACAAUAGAAAAUCGUACGUACAAGAAGAAGAGGGUCCUCCACAGAUCCAAAAGCAAGCCCACCAUCCCCUUGUACAAUUUGUUAAACCAAACUAAACAUCCCAUUGCAUAAUUUGUAAUGAAACGUAAUAUACUUCUAACACCUUUUUUUUCCUUCGGUUUCUGACGAACCCACAAUCGCACCGUACAAUCUUUAUGAUCAUUGUUUCCAUCAAAAGAAAACGAUGAAAAGAAUUAUGAUCACAUAGUAUAUAGCUUCAAGAAUUGGUCCAUUUAAAGUAAUCUUUAGGACGCAUUUUGUGUAGUCAAUGCAGAGUCAUCGAACAAUCUUUGUGCAGAAACUGGAUUUCAAUAUUACUCUUUAUUAUAUUUACAAUAUUCAAGUAACUAGACAUCCAUAGACAUUAACAAAAGGAUGAAGACAGCAGCCACAAUCAGUAUCUCUGAAUCAUACAUAAAUUACAGCACCAUACGAAAACCUGAACUUGUUCCUAGGUAUAACAUACAAGUCUAUCCAACAUCAUACUUCAAAUAACAAAAUAAAAUCCAUCAGUUCACAAUAUGGAAGAUCCAAACACGAGAAAAUCUUCCAAGCUGCUCAUCUGGCUUAUUAUGACAAUUAGCAUGUACCAUAUCUACGACAUACUAGUACUCUACAUGUCGCAACCACAAGCCAGCUUGCAACCCUUCUAACAAGCUGGGAACCACCCUCUCAAGCAAGAAAUGCGGCCUCAGAAUUAAAAUCAAUUCAAUGACCUCAUCAAGAUUGAGUCAAUGAUUUCAAGAAAAAGCUAAAAACAACAGUGGAAUUGACAACAUGAUUUCUUUCUCACAAAUCAUUCUUGUGAAGAGCCACAUCUGUCAUUCCUGCAAGUGCUUCUAAAUCAUCUCAGAAGUCUGAUGCAUACUGUCAAAAAGAAACCUCCAUUCAGAACAAAAUUGUGCCCAGCUCCUUACAAAUUUAAACCACCAAUAAUUUCCGCAUAAUAAUAGAUUAUAUCAUUCAGAAUGGAUGCUGGAACUAAAAUGCAUGAAAAUUUAGAUUAUAUUAUUCAAUUUCAAUUUAACAUCCAAUUGAUUCCUUAACUCCUUAUCCAGUUAGCAUUUUAUUUAAACAAACUAGAGCUAAAAAAGGUAAAGAACCAGCAAUCUUACCCCAACCAAUCAUCUGUAGCUGUGUCCCGUAAAUCACAGUACCACAUCAAAGUGUAGGUUGAAACAAUUCAUCAUCAAUAUGAAAGCUAUGCGGUACUGGGAACAGUUGUUGCAAGCAGAAGGGUCCACCCAAAAGCCAGAUUGAAAAUAUAUAAGAAAUACUGAGACUUCAUAAUCCAUAUGGAUAGGUAAUAACCACUACAUGCUUUACAAUGAACUCAAACUAGGUGCUCCAGCAUCAAUCAUUUGAAGUAUAGUUGGAAGUAACAACUCUUUCCUCCGACAAAAAUAUUCACAAAAUCAUAUUUACAGGUAAUCCAGCUGUCCUGUAGGUGAGCUAGUAAUACAUAAGCACACUGGAACAAUUGAAAGUCUCACAAACCCACCAUAAAUCCAUGGAGAUCUUCAUGACUCCCUAUACUUCGUUAGAUCGAACGUUAAUGUUCUUGAGCAGCUGCAAAUAGCAGUCACAUGUCCAGGAAAAAAAAUUCAAUAAAAGCUACGUGAUUGGCGAAAGCACAGGAAAUACACUUGAAGAUUACCUUCUUUCCGAGUCCCUAUAUACUCCAACCAAUGCCUCAGCUUUGUCAUAGAAGCUGUCCUUCAGUGAUAUCACAAUGCUCUGAAACCCACAUCCUCCGUCAGCAUCUUGGUUGCCCCUAGCUCCAUCACAUGAUUUUGACCUAAUGAAUCCAGCUACCUUGGCAACAUUCAAGUUAUCCAAGGCUGCAUCAACCUCAUCCAGUAUAAAGAAUGGAGAUGGCCUAUAACUGAAACAAUUGUUCAAGAAACAAAGAGUGAUUUAACUGCAAUAAUAUGUUUGCUUACCUUUUAGAUAUAAUGCCCUUUACAAGAAAAAUAAGCACUCAAUUUAGUUCAAAGAAAUCGAUAUACAAACAUUAAUAUGGUUUAAGAGUCCUCUGAGCAAAUCAAAAAUGACUCAAGAAAAUUGACAUACUGCAUUGAUAACUUUAAAAGGGCAUCCUGACAGCCUCUGAGUUGAUUGACGUAUCACUCGGUGAUAAGAAAGGAGUUUGCGAAAUAUUUUAAAUACAGCUGUGUAAGGCCUACCCUAUGAGCUAACAAAAUUAAGAAGAAAAUGAAUUGACAGCAUAAAAUAAAUUUUAUAGAAGAUACUGAAAAAAGAAAAAAGUACGUUCUGUUCAACCUAAAACAAUGUUACUAUGACACAUGAAACCAGGAGAUCAGCUGCCCGGAAGAAUCCACAGAAAACAUGAAAAAAAAAAACUAACAUAAGAGGCAUUUAUAUCUUAGAGAUGCAUGUGUAAAUAAAAAUUUAUGUUUAUAAUGAACCAUCAGUUAGAGAAGACUGCCCUUAAUUUUAUAAAAAAUAUAAAACCUUUGCUCAAUGUCAUGUUAGAAUAUUAGAAUUGUCAAAAAGCAUAUAAUUAGUUUAUUAUUGGAUGAUUUGAGACGUAUUAUUUUCACAUACUAAAACCCACAAGUUUAGAAGAUCAAAAUAGAAAUUGCUUUAGAUAUAUUAUUUAAGCAGGAGGCAAUGUUUGCUAAUAUACAUGGAACAACAAUUGAUAAUUGGGCGGCAAGCAUGACAGGUGAACGUGCGAGCCAGCAGAAGCAGAACUUUCAGAACAAGCACUGGACAUGGCAUGGGGAGGGGGGAGAAGAGAGUAAUGUCAGGGCAUGGCCCACUAUAGUUGUACUUGUCAUUUGGCAAAAAAUUCCAGCGAAUAAAUCAAAGAAAGCUAAACCACAACCUAGCCUAAGAAAAUAUACCUGUGAAUGGAGAAAAGCAAUGCAAGUGCUGCAACAGUCUUCUCCCCACCGGAUAACUGCUCCAUAUCUCUGAAGCGCUUUGUAGGGGGCAUGGCUGUGUAUUUGAUGCCAUGUAAGAAAGGUUCGUCCUCAUUUUCUAAGUUGAGGUAUGCUGUUCCUCCAAGUGGGUGUGUAUGACUCUUUGUUAAUUGUUUGUAAAUUUUGUCAAUACUUUUAGAUAUAUGAUCAAAUGCCUCCAUAAACAGCUCAUACCUGUACCAUUGGGGAAAACUUCAGUUCACAGUAAUAUAUGGCUAUCAAAUUCAGAAACACCAUUAAAUGAUUUAGCAUGUAUAUUACCAACAAAAUUCAACCUUGUAGUCAAAUGCAAUGUCACUUACUAAUCAUUGAGAAGUGCAAGGCAUUAAUCUGAAAUUACUUUCACACUAAAUUUUAAAUGUUAUGAUAAAUAAUAUUUAAAUUGGAAAACCAAAAGUUGAACUAAAUAUUUUAGUUCUUAAACAAUACAAUUAUGAAGAAUCUUAAGUAAUUGAUAUAACAUAUGUGAAUAAGAGUGCUACUGUUUUAAAUGAACCUUUAUGAUGAAUUUGAGCAUGAACCGUUGUUUUGGUUCUCUCCCUCCCAAUCAGACUGUAAUGAGCAUAAAGCAAUUACUUCAGAGCUUCGUGUGCAUAUACAAUUUUUUUCUUAUUUAACUUUUCAAUUAUUUAUCUCAUAGUGGCUAAACUUUUUUUCAAAAACAAAAUUUUAUUUUAUUGCUGAAAAUUGUUUUUAGUACAAUAUUUUUUAUGUAAUCUUUUAAUAUUCAUUGGUAGAUCUACAAUAAUAAUAUCAUGGAAGAGUUUUGCAUUAAGUUACUUUCAUCCAGCUCAAGCAAAACUAAAAUGAGCAAACUUGCUGGAUGCAUAGCUUAUGAAAAAAAAAAUCCCCCAUCAAAGUAACUUUUCUCAGAGCAAACAUAUAGAUGCUCCCGUUGUUUUAACAAAUCCUUAUAAGGUCAUCUGCUAACAUGUGUAAAUAUACGUGUACCUACAUGACUAAAUUUUCAAAGAGAGAAACUGACAAAGAAACAUUAUCAAAAGUCAUAAAGAAUUUGGUUUAUAUGAAGAUGCUAUAAGUAUGCUAUAUAGCUACAUGUCAUACCUCCUCUGCUUAAUGGAAUUAUAUCUAUCAGAUAUCUCUUUCUCUUCUUUCCUGGCUGCUUCAAAUUUUUCAAUCACCUCCUUUUCUUUCCCUUGUAGAGCUUCAUACUGAUCUAGUGCUUUCAGGUUGGGUGCUGUUUGUUCAAUUUCAGCCAUUAAAGUAUCCAUUUUUUGUUUGAAAUCUAACUCAAGCUUUUGUCGCUCAGAAGGUCUCAUAUCCUGCAAAUACAUUCUGCUUAACUGACUGUAGUCAAAAACUGGUCUAGUCACAGAUGAUCCAGUUUCCAUUGGGUCAUCAACUGUAGGGAGCUUUAGCUGCUCCAAUUCACAUUUCUCCACUACCUCUUGCUUACGUGAUCUUAGCUGCUCAAGUUGCGUCUCCUGUUACCAAAACAGAUUCUUGAUUAUAACAACAAUUUAAAAUUAAUUUAUCACAAAUUUGUCGCAUUAUAAUAAUAAUCUCAUGAUGCCUUAACUUUAUAUCCUGACCAGAAAGAAAAAGGUCCAGAUCUUUACACGAAAACCUAGAAAUGAUACCAGGAACAAUGGGUACAACAUAAACCAGGCGCAUCACGCUACCAUAAUGAUAAAAGUAUGCUAACUUGGUAGGAGUUAACCUUCGAAUUUAUCUGGCGCUUCAGUUUUCCUAUACCUCCUGUAACACUUGCACUCUGCUUCUUUAGUUCUUCAAUGACCUUUUCACACUCAUCCGACUUGGAUUUCCACUCUACAAAGGAAAAGUGUUUGUUAAAUGAACAAAAGAUAAACAAAAGGGAACCUGCUUGAUUCCGAUGAUCAGUUGGCACAUUAGAAAAAGAUCUCAGGAAACAAUGCUGGAAAUGUCAUGAGUAAGACUGAUAUUUAAACUAAAGUACUAUGUGCUCAAAAAGAUAGAACCAGAAAAGAAUCAAAGCAUCAUUCAUGUUUGAAUUAUAAGACUUGCCACAAGCUACUGCAUAGAAUUCACAAAUAAUGUCUAACAAAUGAUAUAUGACCUCACAGAUCAACAAGAACCGUAUGACAAAGAAGCACACAGGCACAUUUCUAAUGUCAUAUAGAGGUUGCUUGGCUGUCCAACAGUGCACACCAAAGUGUUACUUAAAAAACAUGUAAAUAAAAGGAUGAGAAUCACAAAUUAAGUAUCAGCAUUCGUGCAGUAGCAUCUGCACCAUAGUACUUAUGAACAAGUUGUAGCAGUUGAAGCAGUCAGCUAGUUUGCCCCGAUUUGCCUAUCUACAAAUCAGAGAGAACUACUUGAUGAGAAACAGUAGCAAGCCCUAAAUUGUAACAUGAGCAUAGAUGCAUCAACUACUGAAAUUCAAGAUGAGGCCCAUUGGUGUGUGUUGGCCAGUAAUUGCGGGCGCAAUGUCUUCUACAAGAUUGAAUUGAGAAGCCUAAAAAGGCAAACCCUACUUUACAUAAACCAACUCUCAUAGAGAAAUCUGAUGCAUCUUACUCAGAAACAAGAAGAAAAGCAAGAAGGAUGAGAAAUACAUGUCCUAUGGACAGAGAGAAAUAUGUGGUGCUAAUACAGAAAAACAUUGAAGAGAUAGGAAGAGAGAGAAUGAUGACAAUACGAGUCCUUAAAAUCUCCACUUUAAUGACCAAAAGAUAAAGAUGCCCUCAAAAACAAGAGGGGAUUUGUUUACACUUUAAGGAAGCAAUCUUGCUAGAGAUGAUAAUAAUCUGUCUGCCAUCAUAAUCUUCUUCAUCUCCCUUUACUCAUACAUCUCCGUGUACAUCUAAUUUUGAAAUGGCAGUUACCUGAUUGGCAUAAGGAAUUUCGGCAGCAACAAUAGUUUUAAAUGCUGAUUGCCAAUUUUAAACUCUGUAUGAAUUAAUGCAAAAAAAAAAAAGCCUUCAGAAACUAGAUUUCAAAGUUACACCAUAUAACAGAAGAUUGCUUGAAGUUCAUUAUAACUUGCAAAAAAGAAGUACAAAGAGGACAGGCAGCUUCAAUAACCACUAUUGCAGAAUAAGUAUCAUCUUCAGAGAAUAUGAAUUUCUUAAGAUGGAAUUGUUGCAGAAACGCAAGUAUUACAAAUCCAGAAGUUGAUAUAAAAUGAGACGUAAGGUUUAACAGUACCAUCAACUUCAGCUUUCAGUUCUUCCAUCUGAUUUGCAAUUUUCUCGGCCUCCAGCUUGGCAUCAGACUCCUUUCUCUGUACAUCUUUCAAGUCUUUAUCUAAAUAAUCAAGAGAGGAUACCAGCUUUGCAAUUGGUGUCUUCAUGUCCCGCUUUUGCUCAUACUCCAGCCUGAAACACAAGUAGCACUGAAUCUUCUAACUCCAACAAAAGUUAGUUUUUAGGAAAUGCUUCUUAUAUCUGCAAUCAACUAGGGAUAUAGAAAAUCAAUAUUAUAUUUUUGAAUAUAACAAUUUCACCAAAUGGUCAAAAGAUCUAAUCUAAACCUAAUAACUGCAAGUAUUCAGAAUAUUUCUGUUGACAAAUUGACCACAGAACUGUACCACCAGAUGUAUCUCUUUGAAACAUGGAUCUACUGGCCACAAGUUUAAAAAUAGCCAGUUCAGUAAAAAGAUAGAAACAUCCCUGUUUAUUUGCCAAUAGAUGUAAAAACUGAAACAAAAACACAAGAACAACUAGAUUUUAAAGGCUAUUGGAUCUGAAACAAGGAUAGAAAAAUUGCUAGUUCUGACCAUUGGAAAGAUUAGGUGAUCAUACACACUAGCAUUUUCCUAGUUCCAAGCCUUGUUUGUGUGUUUUAACCUAGAAACUGUAUUAAAACAUAGAGAAUAAUUGCAUAAAGCAAAAAUACACAUAUUGCACUGUUACAGGAAGGCAUGCCUCCAAGAACCCACAUGAUUCUGAUUUGACAGGAUAUAACAGCUUUUUUAAAAUGUGGUGCAUACUACAGCAUAUGCGCCCGCAUAUGCAUAUGCAGUCCCGUUAUUGCACCACAUUGCCUAUAUGCACUAUUGUAUAUUCUCAUACCACAUAUGGACCAAAAAGAUGGUCAACUUAGCACGGCACAGCUAAACUUCACUUGCUUGGUAUCAUAUUGCUGCAUAUGUGAGCCCACUUAGCAUUCUGGAGCUACAUAUACAGCCCACUCUUAUGUCGGCUCAUGUAGGUGAAGUGCGUUCGAGCGGAUGGCUAGGUUUGACAUGGAUUUUAGGUCAGCCUGAUUCUGGUCUUAAUAGUGCUAAAAUGUUGAUUAUGCUGUAAUUAUUGCUAUCGAGUGUUAGAUACUGAAUUAUAAGCAUUUGUAUUGCUAUUAUUCAUCCAUAAGAAUUACUCAUUGUUAUUGUUUUGGUUGUACGUAAUAUAUUAUAUUUAUUUUUAAAUAGUUAAAAAUGUAACUGUAUAAGCACCCACAUAUGCAGCCUGCAUAUGCACUAUAUGGUCCCUUGACCACCAGCAUACCGCAAUCACUUUUUAAAACACUGACAGAUACUCUGAAUUGGAUUUUGCUGUGCUUUACAUAUAUUGACACUGCUAAAGUGAAGAUAGUGAAAGGAUACCCUGUGAAUAAAACUAUCCUAAACAACUAAACUUGUUUCAUAUUUCGUGACAACUAAUCCAUAGACCUCUAGCUCAUUAUGUACUCUGAUAUGUUUGUAUAUUAUCCUAUCAAAAAAUGGUUGAUAAAACCUGAACGGAUUGUGCAUUUAAGAUCUACAUGUUAUAAAUUAAGCAUUAUGACAGGAAGGUACAUUAGUCAGAAUAAAUAGAUAAUAGGUGACUUAUCAAUUAAGUUGGAUAAUUUUAAUAUUAAACUUGAUAAUAAUUCUAGUUUAAAAGCCCACCAAGCUUAUCAUUGUAAUCUACCAUAUGGCUUUGGACCAACCAAGAUUUCUCCAUGAUUUGUCAAAGCAAGAAAAAAGCCUUCGCAGCUGACCUUCCAGCACAAAGUCAUAUUACUGUCGAGAGACUGUCAUCUUCUUGAUCUAUCACCUACUCUCAUGACAUGUUAGAAUAUGUUGCAAGUUUUUUACACCACAAAUUCUGGCCAUACUAAGGAAAUAUUAUCCCUAACAACUUUAAAGGGAUAUGAGUGUUCUUUGCAUAUUUAUCAUAUAGGCUUACAAAUUAAAUAUCUGUGGCAGCUUUGCAAUGUAUGGUAGAAUGCCUUAACAAGAUGAAUCCAAAGCACAACAAACAUUUGGAUCAGACAAUGUUAUCAGUGCCAGAGAAUGUAGUACCUGGAGGGAUAGGGGAAGGGAGAGCAGGGGGUUCUACAACUGCGAGCCUCUCUUGUUUCUGUUCCUCUGUAUGUCUUAUAUGAUAAGUUUAUUAUGCUACUUGAUACAUAAGUGCAGAUUGAGUAAGCAAAUAAGGGUUAAGUUUACAAAGUGUAUUCCACAAACAUCACUCCAAGUAUAAUCCUCCAAAUGUUCAAUACAUAAUCAAAAGUUCCAGCUUGAUUCUCCUCUUGGUCAGACUAACUUUUUGCAUUGCUAGCAUUUAUCUAUUUUUAGCCCACCCACUUUCAGAAAGCCCAUCUCCAUAAGAUCCACACUAAGAUGCACAUUACCAUCAUCCUAUGCUCAUGAAAAGAAGCAAAGCUAAAUUUACUUAAGUUUGCAAAGUAGAAUUAGACAAAUUCAACAAAUAUCCAGAUAUUUUCUACAAACAUAUAUGGAAAAUUGAAGCCCCAUUUUAUGAUUUGUUUUGUAGAUCUAAUUACUCCAAUCCAUCUUGUAUUCAUAAUCAUCCUCUUUGCAUAUCACAUCUUCAUCUUGUUUGAGAACAAACAUAUUCUUGUAGCAAUAUUGCCACAUAGGAAAGGUAUGAAAAAAUUACACUAUCUAAUAGCAUUUCAGGUAUAUAUUUACUGAAUGAGCUAUCCAUGAUGAAUACAAGCUGUUGCUGUCGCUUUUCUAUACAGUAAGUAGAUAGCACAGAGCCACAGUAAGACCCAACCAGCUCGACUGGAUUGAACUGCCUAAACUGUGAUCUGGAAGCCUACAACAACCCAGGUUGACCCAAUAUUUGACCCAUGCAGGUCAGUUAUUAAAUUGAAAGAAAAAAUGAAAACAAUUUAGUCAAGGAGCUCUGUUUGACCGGGUCUUAAGCUUCCAUCCAACCAACUUUACACAGUGGCCUUUACUCUUUAGGGCUAGCCCUAGAUCUCUACUCCAAAUCCUCUCCCAUCCCAAGCCGCAGCCAACACCAGCCAGUCAUCACCGACGUCUGAGAUCGCCUUUCCCCUGUUGUUGCCAGCUGUGGAAAAGGAAGGGUGGUUGCUUGGAACUUAAAGGACAUCGGCUCCUCCUCGGAUUCUUCUUCCCCUCUUCUUCUUCUUUCUUAGUAUUUUAAGUUACUCCCUACCUGCAUCCUUCUAUGCUACAGAGAAUAGAACAGCAAUAGGCAGGGUCCUUUAACAUCCCCUCCAAAGCAAAGCCACCACUAUAAAAAUGGUAAGAAUGAAGGUAUGAUAUGAUUAUUAGGUACUAAUUUGUAUAGUUUUGUACUAAUUUUUUUAUUACAGAAGAUGUGGGAAUUGAUAAUACCUCAUUUUGAUGGCAUAAAUAUGACAUGUAAGGGGAUUAUUAUUAUAAUAUCUUAUAUUGUAACAUAUUUUUAUAUUUUUACAUUUUUAAGCAUUUUUAUUUUUUUAGUAUUUACUAAAUUAAUUUAUUUAAUGUAUUCAUUUAUCUGGGUUAAUGGAUCAACCCAUGGUCGACACAUGGUUGAACCACUAGUGCACAAGACCACAACCCAGAAACCAAAACGGUUGAUGUUCAGGCUGGCUUUUAGAACAUUGGAUAGCACACUGAUAAUCCUCAUACUUGUUACAAGCAUACUAUCAAUCAGAACUCAUUGAUGUGCCUCCACUAUAUAAUGCAUUUGUCUGAGUGGAAUACAUCACCUAAGGGGUUUGAUAACCAAACACACAGAGUUUUCUCAGUAUAAGUAGCAGACUUAUAAAAGGUAAACGUAUACUGAUAUACAAGCAAAAUGGAUUAAUAACAUAAUAAAAAAAAUCAGUACAGCAAAAGAUACCAUCUAUAACUUGAAGAAAUGAGGACAGUUAAAUACAUACUGAUAUUUCAGUUUUGACAUCUGGUUGCUCAAGCUUAGCUUUCUCUCAUACAUUUCCUGAGCAGCCUUGAGCUGACUUUCUUCAUACUCACGUAUGUUUUUCACUCCAACAGACUCACUGAAAUCCUUGUAAAUUCGGUCAACAAUCUCAUUUAUUCUCUUCUCAAGCUUUCGACUGUCUUCAGUUCUUUUAGCAACAAGACUUUUUAACUACACAGACAGAUAGCCAGCCAUUAAAAAAAUGAAAAGGUGUAUGCCUACUAUCAAAUGGAGAGCCAAAACAUUCAUGUUGGCAACCACCUUCUGAAGCUCAGGCUUUAGACGACUAAUCUCCUCUUUUAUAUUUCUCCCUUCUCCUUUUAGUUUUAAGAGCUUUUCCUGGAUAUUUUUCUGCACAUAGACUCAUUCAGGUAAACCCAAUAUCCUGAAUUCAAGAAUUUACAAGUAGAUGACUGCAACAAACGUACUUAAAGGCAAAUAUUUGCAUAAAAACCAUAAAAUGUAACUACAAGAUCCAGCUUUCUGGCAAAUUAACAAACGGAGACAAAACUCCAGAACAUCAAUGGUGUUUUUGUUCAGAAAAUCAGUAUUAAGAUGACUUAUAGCAUUUAAGAAAACCUUAUAACAGAAUAUCUUCCAUAAAUAGCGCUUGAACUCUUGCAUUACAAGUAAAAAUGGGCUUCAUAACAUGCUUACCAGAACAUGGUAAGUCAAAGGUCAUAAAUGAUUUUAUCAGGAGAAACCAAGAUCUCUCUAGCUUUAGAAACAAUCACCUGCAGAUGGGAUGCUCCCCUCAUAAUUAUAAGAUUUCCAGCAUCAAUACUCACCCAUCUAUGCUAAUAUUAGCAGGAUAGUAGGGAUGAUAGAAAGAACAUAGGCAUAAAAUCAAAAUGAACCCCCAUCCCCAGGAGAAACCAUAGUGCUCCAUCAUUAUGACACCAGUACACAACCAUCCAUGUUGAAAGAAACAAAGGCCCUAAAAAGGAUGAUAAGCAAGGACAAUAGCCAGAUGAUCAUCUUGACCUCAACCUGCACUAGCUUGUAGAAGCUGACAUGCCACUUCCAAAUACCAAUCACAGAUUUAAAUUGAAGUUUUCAAACUUUAAACUCAGUAUUUCAUAUGAAACAAAAACAAACCGGAAACCCAUUCACCAAGGGGUUAACCUGAACAAGUCGCUUAUUACAGAUCUUAAAUCAAAAAAAAAAACCUAUCCAAGUGCAGUAUUUAAUUUGAAUAAAGGCAUCAGAACUAGAAUAGUGCAGAAGACUAAAGAAGAUUGAAAAAUUGAGGUUGUCAAAUAUGAUCAGAUAAAAUUUUCUAUCAUGGAGUAAAAUGGCCUGGGAUAGGAAAUGAUGGUGACAUGAACAGUGCAGUCCAACCAUAUUUGAUAAAAUAAAAGUUCUUGUUCUUGUUUUGUUCAUAAAGAAUGCUACCUUGAAAAAUUAAGUCAGAGACUGGUUGUACUCUACUAAAUGCUGAGAAGAAAGUAUUACAACUGUCUUAGACAAAUGCACAUUCAUUUACACGCGCGUGCAUGCAUACAUUUACACGUGCACGCAUGCAUGCAUGCACAGAGAGAGAGACAGAGAGAGAGAACACAAAAUGGAAAUUUUGAUUAUUAAAAAAUCAAAUAGGUGAAACAGCUAUACGGAUAAUUUCUUGUCAAAAAUAGGAAUCUGAACAUAGUAAGUACAACAUGUUAUGAGAGCAAAAAGUUAGAUCAUAAGCUUCCAUUAAUUUUUCUGUAAAUAAAGAAUCAUGCAAGAGCAACACAAAAUCAUAAAAACUAAACUUGAAAAGGAACCAAGUUACUCCUCCCUACUUAGCAUGUUAACUGAGAGUUGUCAUUCUAGCUACCUCCUCAAUAUUCGAAUAUUGAAUUUUCCUUUCAAGCCAACUGAUCCUUUCUGAUGCUUCUGACUCUUUUAUCUGUAACUCUCUAACUGAUCCAAGCGCUUCCAAUUCAGAUUCCCAUUGAUCUUUUUUCUUUUUAAGAGCUGUAAAUACCAAUUAACACUCAAUAAGAAAAGAUAAAACGGCAAACAUGCUAAAAAUAAUAGGAGGAUAACACAUAAUACAAACCCUCAAUGGUACUAUCAUCCCAUUUGUUUGACCUGGCUUCCAUUCCACCACUUAUUCCACCCGUCAUUGUACCAGACUUUGUCAGGAGAAUCCCAUCAACAGUAACCACUGAAUACACAAAGAUCGUAUCCAUCAAUAAUAAGAUUUUCAAGCAACGUACAUAUGGACUACAAUUAAAAAAAAAAAUUAAUAAAGCAUAUUGCUGAGCAUUUACCUUUGUACCUCUCGCCACUCCAGCUAAGAAUCUUAGCUUCUUCAAGACCAUCACAGACAAGGGUAUUCCCAACAGCAUACAAGAUAGCCUUCUCCAAGGAUCGAUCGAAUGUGAAAUUGUUAAGCAGACAAAGCAUACAAAACACUGUGACUCUUUCAAUAUACAAAGUAACAUAUUUUCAGAUGAGAUAGAAGUUGAAAAUUUUAGAGUAGUUAAGCUUCACAAACACUUCAGUAAAUGUAUAUGCCUCGGCAUACAUUCAUUGCCCCAACAUACACAAACUGUACCAUGCUGUUCAACAUCAUACAUCCAUAGUAAAACAUGUGUAUUUUGGCAAUUGACAGUUCUACUGACUCCCUAUGCCACAACCAUGCAUAGAAUCAUCAAGCACAAUUGCUCAUAUUACCAAUUUCAGACCACCUGAAUACCAUAUGAUGAGAUAAAUGAGAAAAUCAGUGCAAAAAUACAAUACAAAUCAGUCUGCAUGCAGACUAAUAUUCUUCUUACUUAUAUGACUAUGGUUGGGUUUGUGAAUAACCUGGAAAAACCCCAGGAGGAGAACCUAAAAAGCACCUUUUUAGGCACUUAUUUCUCUUCAACAGCCAAACAGUUCUGUCAAUUAAAGAGAAAUAAGUACCUCAAGUUAUUGCAUCUUUGAAUAUCUGGGAUAAACUUGCGCAUGGCAUUGAAAAGCUUAACAUAACAGAUUAACAUGCCAGAGCUUUUUAUUACUUGAAAAACAAGUAACAGGAACAAAAACUGAGGGCCCAAUUGAGCUUCAUGACCAUUAAAAUAUUUUUUCUAAAAAAAAAAGCAGAGAGACAAGUGAAGGGAUAGAUAAGAGAGAUGGAAAGAUAAUGUGAAGUGGUGCUUUCGAAACGGUAUGUGGUCUCAGAAUUCUUAAGAGGAAACAAAUUGACAUGCAACAUAUAAAGUAGUUCAAGAUGUUCAGCAAUGAAAAAAAAACAAAAAUAUGAGCAUGGUUGGAUAAGAAUGUUAAGAUGGAGGCUUGGUAAAGGCAGGUAGAGGAGCACAGCUAGUUUUGAAGUGAUAAAAAAAUCAAUUGGGAUGUUAUGCACACCACAGCCAAGAGAAGAGGCAUCAUUAAGGAAAGUUCUCAUUUAUAUGUUUAAGAUUCCAAACCAAGGUCCGCAGUACCAGAACCGGCACUCGUGCCGAUAGGCCGACAAUACAUAUAGUACUGUGCUUUCCCAUCCCAGCGCGUACCGAAAAAGAAAAACUAGAGGGCGAGAGGGAGGGAGGGAGAGGAAGA